rnacentral:rRNA from 1 species
GCUUACGGCCAUACCACCCUGAACACGCCCGAUCUCGUCCGAUCUCGGAAGCUAAGCAGGGUCGGGCCUGGUUAGUACUUGGGAGACCGCCUGGGAAUACCAGGUGCUGUAAGCU